rnacentral:rRNA from 1 species
UACGUAGGGGGCAAGCGUUAUCCGGAUUUAUUGGGCGUAAAGAGCUCGUAGGCGGCCGUUCGCGUCGGAUGUGAAAGCUCAGGGCUCAACCCUGAGACGCCAUUCGAUACGGGACGGCUAGAGGUAGGUAGGGGAAAGUGGAAUUCCAGGUGUAGCGGUGAAAUGCGUAGAUAUCUGGAGGAAUACCGGUGGCGAAGGCGGCAUCCUGGACCGAGAUUGACGCUGAGGAGCGAAAGCUAGGGGAGCAAACGGG